rnacentral:rRNA from 1 species
AUUGAACGCUAGCGGGAUGCCUUACACAUGCCAGUCGAACGGAGUGGCGAACGGGUGAGUAAUGUAUCGGAACGUGCACAGUAGCGGGGGAUAACUACGAGAAAGAGUAGCUAAUACCGCAUACUAUCAGAGCGGCCUAAAGCGGAUUAGCUUGUUGGUGGGGUAACGGCUCACCAAGGCGACGAUCCGUAGCUGGUUUGAGAGGACGACCAGCCACACUGGGACGGAGACACGGCCCAGACUCCUACGUGAGGCAGCAGUGGGGAAUUGUGGACAAUGGGGGAAACCCUGGUCCAGCCAUCCCGCGUGUGCGAUGAAGGCCUUCGGUUGGUAAAGCACUUUUGGCAGGAAAGCGGUACCUACAGAAUAAGCACCGGCUAACUACGUGCCAGCAGCCGCGGUAAUAC